UCCGCCUCCUUCCCUGCUUCUAAUUAACUUCUUCUUCCAACUUCACCUCCUUCGCUCGCCCCUCUAGGUGCCGCUCCGACUCCUGUUCCCUCCCGUUCCCUCUCUGGACGGAAUGUUGGGCGAGUUCAUGGUCGGGCCUUCUUCCCGUCGCGACGCUUCGUUUCGUUCGCUCCUUAUAUGCCGCUUCGACUCCUGUUCCCUCUCUAGACAGAAUGUUGGGCUGGGUUCAUGGUCGGCGCUUCUUCCGGUCGCACCGUUCCCGUUAGCGACGCUUCGUUUCGGCUUAUUCAUCCCCUUUGAUCACGAAAAUGCGAGGCCUCCGCGGGCUUCGAUUUCACCUCCAGGAAGCGGAUCGAGCAGCCGCCCGGGCCCACGCCCGCACGAGGGCACGAGCCGACACGGACGCGAGCCGGCGCGGGUGUGGGCGUGGGCGUGGGCGUGGGCGCGCGCAGGGGCGCGAGCGGCGUGGGCUGCGCGGGUUGGGUCCGGACACGGGCGCGGGAAGUGAUCUCCGCGCUCUCUCCCUCGCAGGCACCGUGCCCUCUCCGCGCCCUCUCCCUGCCGCCGGGAUCUGCAGUGUGAUCUUCACUGGUGCCGCGCCCUCUCCCUGGCACCCUCUCCGACCUCCCGCUCGCGAACCCCAAUGCCCUCUCCCUGGUGCCCGCGCCCUGUUCAACGAAAUGCCGAGCUUAUUUAUAAAUGACAAUUUCUCAAUUUGCUGAGCUUUUUAAAUAGGUUUACUCAGAAGAAUCUACUCAGAAUUUAUCCAAAGGGAACGCGAUUCAAUUCAUCAAACUAUAACCCGUAUAUCGGUUGGAUGCAUGGUGCUCAAAUGGUUGCAUUCAAUAUGCAGAUAAUAAAAUGAGGAAUUAGUUGGUGGAGUUGGUCUCAUAUGUUGAUAAACUGAACAUUGAGUAAGCUUAUAUUUUUCCUUUAUAUCUGAAGUGUUCUAUAGCUUAAUUAGAUACCUAGCCUCAUAUGUAUAAUCUCUUACCAUGAACUCAACAUAUGUUGUUCUGGGUGGAUUAGGUAAUGUUCUAUGAGAAGAUCCGAAUAAAUAUAAUGCUGUGUGAAAAAAAAAGAGUUGCUAAUUAUUAAGACUUCAUUUCAUUUCAUUAUAUUGACAUUUCCUCCUUAAAUGUUGGAUGGUUUUGAUGGUUGCGAUCGACCCGACCCUUCUUAACUGGUGAUGAGGACACUUUGGAUGGCCUACUUUGUAGGCAGUCGGUUGCUCCCUGCUAUGUAAAAAAAAAGACUUCGGCGGCGAUCUAAUACGCAAAACAAGACUUCGGCGGUGAUCUAAUAAUGUUCGAUGGAUAGGGAAGCCUUAGCAAAGUAUAUUUAUUUUCACUAUCAGCCAUUUUAUAUGCAGCAUGGUCUUACACUUUCUUUCUUAUACCUCGAGAUUGCUUUUGCUUUCCAUUUGGAUGGCUUGGUAAGUAUUUCUGUCAAGUUGGGGUGUUUUUCAUUUAUGUCCAUGCAAAAUCAUCAUUUACAUAUAUACUUUUUACAAUCUGAAUGUUAAUAUGUGCUCCCCGAAAGUGAAUUUUGUCCAAAGGUAUCCUUAUCUAAAGUGAGGGAGCCAUCUAAUUUAGGUGGCAAUUGCAUGAAGUUAAUUUUGUAUCACCGAAGGUCUUUACUGAGAAUCAUUUUUGGUGGCAGAAGGGUAUAUCUAGAAAAAAGUAAGUUUUUGAAGUAGAUGAAAUUCAGUUUAUGGAGAGAUGCGUAGAUAACUUUUUUGAAUAAUUUGAUAAUUGAAAUUGUCUUCUACAUUCAGAUUAUAUCAAACACCACAAUUUCACGGCCAAAACCUCUAGAGAAGCACCAUUUGGCUCCAGAACCUGGUGGUUUAAAUGGGAAGCCACUCUUUGAUCUAUCUAUUCAUACUCAAGGUGAUGUAUAUGCUCACUCAAGGAGAUGUAUAUCCACACACAAGUGAUGAAGAUGCAUACAAGAAGAUCCAAUCAAGUGCAACCCUGGUUUAGCUUUAUACUGGUUUUGCCUUUGGGGGACCAGCACUUAUUCCCUAGAUAAAGUUAACAAGGGAGGUUGCCCGACGUAGUUGAUGAGCAUUUUGAACUUGCUCCUGCCCUGAGAGGCGAGCUCCAAAUGCAUCUCCAUAGUCAUGGCGUCUGCGUUCUGUCAUAGCUUUCCGAUCGGCAUGGUGCACUGCUCCUUGAGCUCCCUGACUAUCGUCGCUGCCCUUACCCACCACCCUAGCUCUGCAUGCGGUGCCGCACCACCACCUCUGCCACUGCAUACCGGGGGAAAAAGGGAGAAAAUUAUAUACUAUAUAGUUGAAAUGGUUGUUGUUCUUAUUAUUAUGGUGUAACUUUUGUUUUGCGAGGAAUGAAAAAAUGGCAUACUACUCUUUCUAUUA